CGGGUGAGUAAUAUAUCGGAACGUGCCCAGUAGUGGGGGAUAGCCCGGCGAAAGCCGGAUUAAUACCGCAUACGACCUACGGGUGAAAGCGGGGGAUCGCAAGACCUCGCGCUAUUGGAGCGGCCGAUAUCAGAUUAGCUAGUUGGUGGGGUAAAAGCUCACCAAGGCGACGAUCUGUAGCUGGUCUGAGAGGACGACCAGCCACACUGGGACUGAGACACGGCCCAG
rnacentral:rRNA from 1 species